AGCAGCCAGGAUGAUCAUGGGACGUUCACAAAGACACAAAGGAAAGUCACUGAAGCAAAAGGAGAGAGAGAGACAGCAAAAGUAAAAGGAUAAACAGAAGAAAACACACAAGCAAGGAGCUGAGCCACCGCCUCAGAUUUUAAGAACCUGAAGACACCUUCAGAUCGGUCUUCCCACUUUAUUAAUCCUGGGUUCUUCUCUGAAUUCAGGAGAAUAUCUCUGAUAAAUUCCCAGAGGAGGCCAUUAAAGACGGAUCUGAAGAUAGGGACCAAAAGGAAAGUCUGUAUCAGUAAAAGAAUACUAUCCAGCAGUGAGGUGCUGAAGGUUGCUGUAAAGAAGUUGGCCGGCUCUCCCAGCUGCCUGGGUGAAUUCGUGCAAAGUCAUGCUGCAUAGGUGUUCGCCAUCGAUGUCAAAGUCCUGGAAAGGUCAGUUUUUUAAUGAACACAACCUUCUUCGUCAGUUGUGGAAUUGUGGCUUUUUGGGUAUGUAGUAAGGUGUUCUUAAAUGAUUCCCAAUUAUCAUUCACAUUUUUCUGUUUAAAUUCUUCCUCCCAGCUGAUUUGGCUCAUAAUUGUUUUCAGCUUUGUGAAAUUAAAGCAUCAAGUACAUAUAUUACUACUCUGGACUUUAUUCUGCUUGCAUAUUAUAAAUGUAAUCCAGUUAUAAG